UGGGGAAUAUUGCACAAUGGGCGAAAGCCUGAUGCAGCAACGCCGCGUGAGCGAUGAAGGCCUCCGGGUCGUAAAGCUCUGUCCUCAAGGAAGAUAAUGACGGUACUUGAGGAGGAAGCCCCGGCUAACUACGUGCCAGCAGCCGCGGUAAUACGUAGGGGGCUAGCGUUAUCCGGAAUUACUGGGCGUAAAGGGUGCGUAGGUGGUUUCUUAAGUCAGAGGUGAAAGGCUACGGCUCAACCGUAGUAAGCCUUUGAAACUGGGAAACUUGAGUGCAGGAGAGGAGAGUGGAAUUCCUAGUGUAGCGGUGAAAUGCGUAGAUAGUAGGAGGAACACCAGUUGCGAAGGCGGCUCUCUGGACUGUAACUGACACUGAGGCACGAAAGCGUGGGGAGCAAACA
rnacentral:rRNA from 1 species